CCUACGGGUGGCAGCAGUGAGGAAUAUUGGUCAAUGGGCGGGAGCCUGAACCAGCCAAGUCGCGUGAGGGAAGAAGGUACUGAGUAUUGUAAACCUCUUUUGCCAGGGGACAAAGGCGGCCACGGGUGGCCGUAAGAGGGUACCUGGAGAAAAAGCAUCGGCUAACUCCGUGCCAGCAGCCGCGGUAAUACGGAGGAUGCGAGCGUUAUCCGGAUUUAUUGGGUUUAAAGGGUGCGCAGGCGGCCUGCUAAGUCUGGAGUGAAAGGUACCGGCUCAACCGGUACAGGCUCUGGAAACUGGCGGGCUAGAGAGCAGGAGAGGGCGGUGGAACUCCAUGUGUAGCGGUAAAAUGCGUAGAUAUAUGGAAGAACACCAGUGGCGAAGGCGGCCGCCUGGCCUGUUACUGACGCUGAGGCACGAAAGCGUGGGGAGCAAAUAGGAUUAGAUACCCGGGUAGUC
rnacentral:rRNA from 1 species